UCUCUCUCUCUCUCUCUCUCUGAGAGGUGCAUGCUGGGAGUGUGUGUUAGUGAGAGUAUCUACUUGCGUGGUGUUUUUUACUGUUAUUUGAUUAUCAGAGCCCGAGUGCUGUAGGUGCGGACGCUCUAUUGUUUUUUGUUUUCAUUAGAAUUUAUGUUUUUUUUUUUUUUUUAAACUUUCGGGGCUUUCGGGGCAAACUUUUUUUUUCCCCCUUAACAUGCUCAAAAACUCUUGAAAAUCAGCAGACAGGUUGGAAUCUGCGGCCGUUAGGACGUCACUGUGGCUCGCCCUUCGCGUGGCACACACCCGUUACAGCGCCCCCUGGAACAUCUUGCUGCAUAGCUGAUACACAUCUCAUAUCUUACGAGUGGAAAGGCCUAAUGUUCCAAAAUGUUUCCCAUAGAGAGUGUAAAUGUUUAUGAGAAAGUCCAGUGUGGCUGGUCCCCGGGCGUGGUCCAGUGUGGCCAGUGUGGCUGGUCCCCGGGCGUGGCACAGGGCUGUCACAGCGCCCCCUGGAACUUUGUCAGAAAUAUAGCUGCACAGCUCAUCUUCACUUGCAUGUAUAUCCAUGAGAGCCAGUAUACAUUUAGAUCUCAUUGAACUAAAUGACGUUCAUCCACCUGUCAUGUGAGCUGCUUAACAGGAAGUCAGUUAUUUUGGGAUGUUUGAAAAACGCACCCAGUGGAUUUUGAUAUACUCCUCCUAGGGGAUUUGUAUGAUUUUGAUCAAACAGGGUCCAAUAUGAUCUGAAGACAUUGAGGAUGUAAAGUUGUGAAGAGAUUCUUGAUAUCUCAAACAGUUCAGCCGUGAGGAGCCCUUAAACUUAUGGUGAAUAAAAGGAAACAGGAAGUGGCUAAUAACUUCGGUGUAUAUAGCGUGAUGUACAUCAAACCUCAACUUUAUGUUAAGAGAAGAAAGCUGAUCACAUGGCCAUGACUACUGUGAGUCUCAGUCAUAGCGCCACCAACUGGCAGCAGGAAGUGUGUCACUUUUAGAAAUCUCUAAUGUUCUCCCUUACUUUCACCUGAUUUGGUUGAAAAUCAGUGAGAAUAAUGUCAGGACAUGGCUGAUGUCAAACUGUGAAGGAAUUUGUGAUAUUGUGAAUGAUGUUGCUAUUGUGAGGACAUAAUAGAAAAAAAAUAAUGUUCUUUUAUCUUAACAGUGGAAAGCCCUAAUGUUUAAAAAAAUUUUACAUAGAAAGAACAACUGGUUGUGAGUAAGUUUGCUUAGUUCCAUGAUUUUGUGAUGCUCUAACGGCUCGCAACAAAUUUUUUCAUUCAUCAGUCCACUGACUGGACAUGGUUUUGGCCUGACUCCUGCAGUACUAGACUAUGUCCACUAGAGGCUCUUUCCCCUUUAUUUUAAUUUCUUUACAAAUGGCUUCAUUUUCACAAUUCAUAUAUACAGAGUCAACCAAAAAAUGUAUAUACACUUCAGGGAAAGAAAAAUAGUAUGAUGUAAAUUAUAUUAGUAUAAUAUUAAUAAUAUUAUCAUAAUAUUAUCAGAAUAUCAUCAUAUAAAUCAAUCUAUAAUGUAUAGCAAUAAAUUUAGUAAUACAAUAUUUAUACAAAUUUUUCUUUUCCUGAAAUGUGUAUACAUUUUUUUGGGUGAUUAUAUAUAUAUAUAUAUAUAAACUGAUAUAGGAAUAUAGUUUAGAGGGAGAGUCAUUGUCCCUUUGGACAUCACUGGACAUUGCUAUGGUCUGUUUCAUUACACCCAAACUGUCACUUUUAUAUAGUUUAGAGAGAGAGGCAGUUUUCUUUUUCCCAUCAGUGGACAUUGCUGUGAUCACUUUCAGUACACCCAAAUUGUCAUUCUUGUACUUUUGGUAUUUCCCCUUUUAAUGCAUGUAGUGAUGGACCAUAGGUCGAGGGCCCGUCAUGGCUGCUUGCAGCUAUAUUUGUUUGUUGUUUUUGUUUUUUUUCCCCUUUCCUGUUUCCCCUUAGUGUAUAUUUUAAAAUACACAUAUUUCCAUUCCCCCCCUUUUUUGUUGUGUUUUUAUUUUAUUUUUGAGGUUUAGAGUGGGUAGGUGAGGUGAGUAGGUGAGUGUGUAGGUGAGUGUGUAGGUGAGUGUGUAGGUGAGUGUGUAGGUGAGUGAGUAGGUGAGUGGGUAGGUGAGUGAGUAGGUGAGGUGAGUAGGUGAGUGAGUAGGUGAGUGUGUAGGUGAGUGAGUAGGUGAGUGGUAAGGUGAGUGAGUAGGUGAGUGGGUAGGUGAGUGAGGUGAGUGAGUAGGUGAGUGGGUACGUGAGGUGAGUAGGUGAGUGGGUAGGUGAGUGAGUAGGUGAGGUGAGUAGGUGAGGUGAGUAGGUGAGUGUGUAGGUGAGUGGGUAGGUGAGGUGAGUAGGUGAGUGGUAGGUGAGUGUGUAGGUGAAAUGAAACAGCCUUUAUUUGUCACAUAUACAUUACAGCACAGUGAAAUUCUUUCUUCGCAUAUCCCAUCCAUGGAGGGGGUCAGAGCGCAGGGUCAGCCAUGAGACGGUGCCCCUGGAGCAGAGAGGGUUAAGGGUGAGGUGAGUGAGUAGGUGAGUGAGUAGGUGAGUGGGUAGGUGAGUGAGUAGGUGAGUGGGUAGGUGAGUGAGUAGGUGAGUGGGUA